AUGAACGCUGGCGGCGUGCCUAAUCCAUGCAAGUCGAGCGAACAGAACAGGAGCAUGCUGCUCUGACGUUAGCCGCGGACGAGUGGGUAACGCGAGAAUUACCUACCUAUAAGACUGGGAUAACUUCGGGAAACAGGCUCUCAUAAAGGCCGAUAUCUUGAACCGCAUGGAACAAUAGUGACAGACGAUUUUGCUCUCAUUUAUAAGUGGAUGCUCGUCGCAUUAGCUAGUUGGGAGGGUAACGGCUUACCAAGCGAACGAUGCGUAGCCGACCUGAGAGGAUGAUCAGCCACACUGGAACUGAGACACGGUCCAGACUCCUACGGGAGGCAGCAGUAGGGAAUAUUCCGCAAUGGGCGAAAGCCUGACGCAGCAACGCCGCGUGAGUGAAGAAGGUCUUCGGAUUGUAAAACUCUUUUAUUAGGAAAGAACAGAUGCGGGUGUAUCUACGCACGUUUUGACGGUACCUAAACAGUAAGCCACGGCUAACUACGUG
rnacentral:rRNA from 1 species